UACGUAGGGCGCAAGCGUUAUCCGGAAUUAUUGGGCGUAAAGAGCUCGUAGGCGGUUUGUCGCGUCUGCCGUGAAAGUCCGGGGCUCAACCCCGGGCCUGCAGUCGAUACGGGCAGACUAGAGUGCGGUAGGGGAGACUGGAAUUCCUGGUGUAGCGGUGAAAUGCGCAGAUAUCAGGAGGAACACCGGUGGCGAAGGCGGGUCUCUGGGCCGUAACUGACGCUGAGGAGCGAAAGCGUGGGGAGCGAACAGG
rnacentral:rRNA from 1 species